rnacentral:rRNA from 1 species
GAGUUUGAUCAUGGCUCAGGAUGAACGCUGGCGGCGUGCUUAACACAUGCAAGUCGAACGAACCUUCGGGUUAGUGGCGGACGGGUGAGUAACGCGUGGGAAUCUGCCCUCAGGAGGGGGAUAACGGUUGGAAACGACCGCUAAUACCCCAUAUGCCGAGAGGUGAAAUGAAUUUCGCCUGAGGAUGAGCCCGCGUCUGAUUAGCUUGUUGGUGAGGUAAAGGCUCACCAAGGCAUCGAUCAGUAGCUGGUCUGAGAGGAUGAUCAGCCACACUGGGACUGAGACACGGCCCAGACUCCUACGGGAGGCAGCAGUGGGGAAUUUUCCGCAAUGGGCGAAAGCCUGACGGAGCAACGCCGCGUGAGGGACGAAGGCCUCUGGGCUGUAAACCUCUUUUCUCAAGGAAGAAGAUAUGACGGUACUUGAGGAAUAAGCCACGGCUAAUUCCGUGCCAGCAGCCGCGGUAAUACGGGAGUGGCAAGCGUUAUCCGGAAUUAUUGGGCGUAAAGCGUCCGCAGGCGGCCCUUCAAGUCUGCUGUUAAAGCGUGGAGCUCAACUCCAUCAUGGCAGUGGAAACUGAUUGGCUUGAGUAUGGUAGGGGCAGAGGGAACUCCCGGUGUAGCGGUGAAAUGCGUAGAUAUCGGGAAGAACACCAGUGGCGAAGGCGCUCUGCUGGGCCAUUACUGACGCUCAUGGACGAAAGCCAGGGGAGCGAAAGGGAUUAGAUACCCCUGUAGUCCUGGCCGUAAACGAUGAACACUAGGUGUCGGGGGAAUCGACCCCUUAGGUGUCGUAGCUAACGCGUUAAGUGUUCCGCCUGGGGAGUACGCACGCAAGUGUGAAACUCAAAGGAAUUGACGGGGGCCCGCACAAGCGGUGGAGUAUGUGGUUUAAUUCGAUGCAACGCGAAGAACCUUACCAUGGCUUGACAUCCUGCGAACCUUUAAGAAAUUAGAGGGUGCCUUCGGGAACGCAGUGACAGGUGGUGCAUGGCUGUCGUCAGCUCGUGUCGUGAGAUGUUGGGUUAAGUCCCGCAACGAGCGCAACCCUCGUCCUUAGUUGCCAGCAGGUAAUGCUGGGCACUCUAGGGGAACUGCCGGUGACAAGCCGGAGGAAGGUGGGGAUGACGUCAAGUCCUCAUGGCCCUUACGGGCUGGGCUACACACGUGCUACAAUGGCGGUGACAAUGGGUGGCGAACCUGCGAGGGGGAGCUAAUCUCAAAAAGCCGUCUCAGUUCGGAUUGUUCUUUGCAACUCGAGAGCAUGAAGUAGGAAUCGCUAGUAAUCGCAGGUCAGCAUACUGCGGUGAAUACGUUCCCGGGCCUUGUACACACCGCCCGUCACACCAUGGAAGUUGGCCAUGCCCGAAGUCGUUACUUUAACCCUUGUGGAGAAGGACGCCGAAGGUGGGGCUGAUGACUGGGGUGAAGUCGUAACAAGGUAACC